UGCGUAGGCGGACUAAUAAGUCAGUGGUGAAAUCUCUCGGCUCAACCGGGAAACUGCCAUUGAUACUGUUAGUCUUGAGUUCGGUUGAGGUAGGCGGAAUAUGUAAUGUAGCGGUGAAAUGCUUAGAUAUUACACAGAACACCAAUUGCGUAGGCAGCUUACUAGACCGACACUGACGCUGAGGCACGAAAGCGUGGGUAGCGAACAGGAUUAGAUACCCUGGUAGUCC
rnacentral:rRNA from 1 species